rnacentral:rRNA from 1 species
ACCCGAAUGGGGAAACCCAGUGUGACUCGUCACACUAUCAUUAACUGAAUCCAUAGGUUAAUGAGGCGAACCGGGGGAACUGAAACAUCUAAGUACCCCGAGGAAAAGAAAUCAACCGAGAUUCCCCCAGUAGCGGCGAGCGAACGGGGAGGAGCCCAGAGCCUGAAUCAGCAUGUGUGUUAGUGGAAGCGUCUGGAAAGGCGCGCGAUACAGGGUGACAGCCCCGUACACAAAAGCGCAUGUGCUGUGAGCUCGAUGAGUAGGGCGGGACACGUGGUAUCCUGUCUGAAUAUGGGGGGACCAUCCUCCAAGGCUAAAUACUCCUGACUGACCGAUAGUGAACCAGUACCGUGAGGGAAAGGCGAAAAGAACCCCGGCGAGGGGAGUGAAAAAGAACCUGAAACCGUGUACGUACAAGCAGUGGGAGCCCCACCACCAAAGCAUUCUCUGGUGUUGAAGGCCCUGCAAAGCAGCAUCGCGGUGGCGGAGCGUCGUUUGCGACGCCCAACACACAAAACAAGCGGUGAGUGCUUUGGGGUGGGGUGACUGCGUACCUUUUGUAUAAUGGGUCAGCGACUUAUAUUCUGUAGCAAGGUUAACCGUAUAGGGGAGCCGUAGGGAAACCGAGUCUUAACCGGGCGUUAAGUUGCAGGGUAUAGACCCGAAACCCGGUGAUCUAGCCAUGGGCAGGUUGAAGGUUGGGUAACACUAACUGGAGGACCGAACCGACUAAUGUUGAAAAAUUAGCGGAUGACCUGUGGCUGGGGGUGAAAGGCCAAUCAAACCGGGAGAUAGCUGGUUCUCCCCGAAAGCUAUUUAGGUAGCGCCUCGUGAACUCAUCUCCGGGGGUAGAGCACUGUUUCGG